rnacentral:rRNA from 1 species
AUUGAACGCUGGCGGCAGGCUUAACACAUGCAAGUCGAGCGGGGUGAUGGUGCUUGCACUAUCACUUAGCGGCGGACGGGUGAGUAAUGCUUAGGAAUCUGCCUAUUAGUGGGGGACAACAUCUCGAAAGGGAUGCUAAUACCGCAUACGUCCUACGGGAGAAAGCAGGGGAUCACUUGUGACCUUGCGCUAAUAGAUGAGCCUAAGUCGGAUUAGCUAGUUGGUGGGGUAAGGGCCUACCAAGGCGACGAUCUGUAGCGGGUCUGAGAGGAUGAGCCGCCACACUGGGACUGAGGCACGGCCCAGACUCCUACGGGAGGCAGCAGUGGGGAAUAUUGGACAUGGGGGGAACCCUGAUCCAGCCAUGCCGCGUGUGUGAAGAAGGCCUUAUGGUUGUAAAGCACUUUAAGCGAGGAGGAGGCUCUUUUGGUUAAUACCCAAGAUGAGUGGACGUUACUCGCAGAAUAAGCACCGGCUAACUCUGUGCCAGCCGCCGCUGUAA